GAACGACUCUCGGCAACGGAUAUCUCGGCUCUUGCAACGAUGAAGAACGUAGCGAAAUGCGAUACUUGGUGUGAAUUGCAGAAUCCCGUGAACCAUCGAGUCUUUGAACGCAAGUUGCGCCCGAAGCCAUUAGGCCGAGGGCACGCCUGCCUGGGUGUCACAC
rnacentral:rRNA from 1 species